rnacentral:rRNA from 1 species
UACAGAGGUCUCAAGCGUUGUUCGGAUUCAUUGGGCGUAAAGGGUGCGUAGGCGGCGCGGUAAGUCGGGUGUGAAAUCUCGGAGCUUAACUCCGAAACUGCAUUCGAUACUGCCGUGCUUGAGGACUGGAGAGGAGACUGGAAUUUACGGUGUAGCGGUGAAAUGCGCAGAUAUCAGGAAGAACGCCCGUGGCGAAGGCGGCUCUCUGGGACGGUACUGACGCUGAGACGCGAAAGCGUGGGGAGCGAACAGG